GUGACGCUCCCCCGAAGGUUAAGCUAUCCACUUCUGGUGCAAUCAACUCCCAUGGUGUGACGGGCGGUGUGUACAAGGCCCGGGAACGUAUUCACCGCGGCAUUCUGAUCCGCGAUUACUAGCGAUUCCUACUUCAUGGAGUCGAGUUGCAGACUCCAAUCUGGACUACGAUAGGCUUUUUGAGAUUCGCAUCACAUCGCUGUGUAGCUGCCCUCUGUACCUACCAUUGUAGCACGUGUGUAGCCCUGGUCGUAAGGGCCAUGAUGACUUGACAUCGUCCCCGCCUUCCUCCAGUUUGUCACUGGCAGUAUCCUUAGAGUUCCCGGCUUAACCCGCUGGUAACUAAGGACAAGGGUUGCGCUCGUUGCGGGACUUAACCCAACAUCUCACGACACGAGCUGACGACAGCCAUGCAGCACCUGUAUUCUAAUUCCCGAAGGCACUCCCGCAUCUCUGCAGGAUUCUAGAUAUGUCAAGACCAGGUAAGGUUCUUCGCGUUGCAUCGAAUUAAACCACAUGCUCCACCGCUUGUGCGGGCCCCCGUCAAUUCAUUUGAGUUUUAACCUUGCGGCCGUACUCCCCAGGCGGUCUACUUAUUGCGUUAGCUGCGUCACUAAGUCCUCAAGGGACCCAACGACUAGUAGACAUCGUUUACGGCGUGGACUACCAGGGUAUCUAAUCCUGUUUGCUACCCACGCUUUCGAGCCUCAGUGUCAGUAUUAUGCCAGAAGGCUGCCUUCGCCAUCGGUAUUCCUCCAGAUCUCUACGCAUUUCACCGCUACACCUGGGAAUUCUACCUUCCUCUCACAUACUCUAGCUCAACAGUUUCAGAU
rnacentral:rRNA from 1 species